AACAGCGGCGGCGUCGACGUCGACUGCGUCGCGCACCAACAAUAGAAAUCAACUUUGUCAGCGGUAAAGCGAUCGAGCAGCUAAAAUAACACACAAACAACAACAGUAAGCAGAGGCAAACGCAAACAGCAAAGAAGAGAAGAAAUUGAAGCGUAGACAAACGUGACCACGCGCUGACUGGCAGGCAGGCAGGAAGACACAGGAGCACACAGACAGACACACACACACACACAUUCAUACAUACGCAAGCAUAGAAAGUUGAACUCCAGACAACAACAGCAAAGCUYAGCAGGCAGGCAGACUGGCAGACGGGCAGACAGGCGGACAAACAGAGAGACGCACAGGGAGAGAAUAGGGACAGCCAGACAGACAGUUGCAGUUGUCUUUUAUUUGUGUCUGAAGAGUCGCCCGCAUCGUGAUCCCUUCCAAUCCCUUCCACCGUCCCUAGCCCAGUCAUAGAACAGUCGCAAAGUCUCUGUUGAGC